AGAGGGAGGGACUUUGGACCCUUUUCCCAAAGAGCUCCGCCCCCAGGAAGGCAGACCUGUAAGGAGGUGGUCGGAUGUCCUGUUGUGUGUAUUUCUCUGGGAGGACGAAGGGGAGGGGCUCCUAGGCUGGGGGUGGGGGAAGGGACGUGUCCCUUCCUGUUUUGAUCUGGAGGCUGUGAGGCCCUGAGCAGGUCCACACUACCCUGAUGUGCACUCCGGGCCUGUCUGUUGCAUUGCACUUAUGAGAGCUGUGUAGGCUGGAGACCCAGCCUGAGACACGCGACCAGGAGCCUGACUCGUGGCUGUGUUCAUCCUGUGGUCUGAGGUGAAGUGGCCAAGAAGGCUGAAACCAACAUCUUCCGGAGAGCCUGGGUCUUAAUAAAAUCAAGACUCUCCUAUUUCAUAUCUUGACUUGAACCAUCAACUGAUCAGUGAUUCAGUUUUGGAAUUUUGGUGGGGUUAGUUAGAUAUUGUGCUUUGGGGAAAUUGGUUGCUAUUGAGAUUGCUUCUGGGUAGUUAUGACAUUAUUAUAAACACAUGAUUCUUGUUAUAGUCGCUAGCUUAUUACAUGCAUUAUUGGCUGUAAAAUAUUUUUAAAGCAUACCUUGGGGGUAUUCAUGUGGAACUUGUGGGGAGGUUUAAAUCUUGCAUAUGAAGGUUCCUUCCAUCUUGUUUAAAUUACCUAGAAAGGAGAAAUGGAACUUCUAAUUAAAUGCAUUAAAAAUUUUAAAAUUAUAAAAUACUUAUUUUUUGAAUAGAUUAUACAUACACAUGAUUUAAAAUUUAGGUUUCCUCCUUUUCUGCCAUCAGCCCGAAGACAAUGAUGUUAUGAAUUAUUUAUAUGAAAAAGUGUGUGUGUGUAUGUGUGUGUGUAUGUGUGUGUGUAUGUGUAUGUACACAUACAUACAUAUAUAUUCCUUCUCCCUACUCUCUUUUUUGCACAGAUGAUAGACUAUUUUGCUUUUUUUCUUUACUUAAUAUAUCUAAGAAAUCAAUCUGUGUGAGUACAUGAAAGGGUUCCUCAUUGUUUUUUGAAUGAAGAGUAUGGCUAAGUAGUAUGCUGUUGUAUGGCAUACCAUAAUUUACCCAGCCCCUGUUUUUUCCAGUCUUUGGCAUUUAUAAAACAAUGCCACAGGAAUUCCCUCUGUGGUGCAGCGGAAUCAGCGGUGUCUUGGGAGUGCUGGGACACAGGUUCAAUCCCCAGCCCAGCACAGUGGGUUGGGGAUCUGGUGUUGCCACAGCCAUGCUUUGGUCACGGUUGCAACUUGGACCUGAUCUCUGGCCUGGGAACUCCAUGUGUCUCAAAGCGGCCAAAAAACCCCCAGGAAAACCCACAAUGCUGCAAAGAAUAAUCCUAUAAUUAUUGUUAUAAUGUUAUUGCAUGUGUAUAAAUAAAUUCCUGUAAGUUGACAUUUUACGUUGAAAAUUGUGUAUCUUUAAAAUGUUGAGAGAUAUUGCCAAGUUGUCUGUCUUAGAGGUUUUAACAAAACCCAGCUAGCAAUAAGAGAAUCCCGUAGUUAAUAUACUUAAAAAUGUAAUUUUGUAGAUGUGUAUGACCCUGUCUGUCAUGUUAUUUUUUCUUUUUUCUUUAUUUUCUUUUUUGGUUGUGCCCAAAGCAUAUGAGAGAUCCCAGGCCAGGGCUUGAAUCUGAGCCAUAGCUGUGACCAUAGCUGUGGCAGUGCUGGAUCCUUAACCCACUGUGCCACAGGGGGAACUCCUUGUCAUGUUAUUUUUCAAUUAAAACAUGGCUAUAGUUCAUGGGUUAAAGAUCCAGGGUUGCCAUGAGCUGUGGUGUAGGUCACAGACCUGGCUCGGAUCCCACAUUGCUGUGGCUGUGGCAUAGGCUGGCAGCUGUAGCCCGGAUUUGACCCCUAGCCUGGGAACCUCCCUGCUGCAGGUGUGGGCCUAAAAAGCAAAAAAAAAAAAAAAAAAAAAAAAAA
rnacentral:lncRNA from 1 species